ensembl:vault_RNA Vault Vault RNA
GAGCCAGCUUAGCCUAGCGGUUCCUUCACAAUUUGUUAAUUCGUGUUCAGCUCCAGUUCCUAGCAGUUCAAGUCCCGCAGGAGCUGCCUGGCUUUCAA